UCGGACAACGGAAGGUGAGGACAGUGGCGGACGGGUGAGUAACGCGUGAGGAACCUGCCUUUCAGAGGGGGACAACAGUUGGAAACGACUGCUAAUACCGCAUGACACAUAGAGAUCGCAUGGUUUUUAUGUCAAAGAUUUAUCGCUGAAAGAUGGCCUCGCGUCUGAUUAGCUAGUUGGUGAGGUAACGGCCCACCAAGGCGACGAUCAGUAGCCGGACUGAGAGGUUGACCGGCCACAUUGGGACUGAGAUACGGCCCAGACUCCUACGGGAGGCAGCAGUGGGGAAUAUUGGGCAAUGGGCGCAAGCCUGACCCAGCAACGCCGCGUGAAGGAAGAAGGCUUUCGGGUUGUAAACUUCUUUUGUCGGGGACGAGUAGAAGACGGUACCUGGCGAAUAAGCCACGGCUAACUACGUGCCAGCAGCCGCGGUAAUACGUAGGUGGCAAGCGUUGUCCGGAUUUACUGGGUGUAAAGGGCGUGUAGCCGGGAAGGCAAGUCAGAUGUGAAAUCCACGGGCUUAACUCGUGAACUGCAUUUGAAACUACUUUUCUUGAGUAUCGGAGAGGCAAUCGGAAUUCCUAGUGUAGCGGUGAAAUGCGUAGAUAUUAGGAGGAACACCAGUGGCGAAGGCGGAUUGCUGGACGACAACUGACGGUGAGGCGCGAAAGCGUGG
rnacentral:rRNA from 1 species